rnacentral:rRNA from 1 species
GAUGAACGCUGGCGGCGUGCCUAAUACAUGCAAGUCGAGCGAACAGACGAUGAGCUUGCUCCUCUGACGGUGGCGGGGGACGGGUGGGUAACACGUGGAUAACCUACCUCUAAUACUGGGAUAACUUCGUGAAACCGGAUCUAAUACUAGAUAAUAUAUUGUACCGCAUGGAUCAAUAGUGCAAGGCGGUUUUCCUGUCACUUAUAGCUGGAUCCGCGCCGCAUUAGUUACGUGGUAAGGUAACGGCCUACCAAGGCGACGAUGCGGAGCCGGCCUGAGAGGGUGAUCCGCCCCACUGGAACUGAGACACGGUCCAGACUCCUACGGGAGGCAGCAGUGGGGAAUAUUGGACAAUGGGCGCAAGCCUGAUCCAGCCAGACCGCGUUGGUGAAGAAGGCCUUCGGGUUGUAAAGACCUUUUGUUGGGAAAGAAAAGAAGCAGGUUAAUACCCCGCUGUUCUGACGGUACCCAAAUAAUAAGCACCGGCUAACUUCGUG